CGGCCUCCCAGAGUGCUAGGAUUACAGGCGUGAGCCACCGCGCCCGGCCUAAAUGCUUUUUUUUUUUAAUGGACUACUUCUAAUCAGGCCUCCAUUCCCAACAGCCUGUCAAUGUCCCUGGACUUAUUUUCAUCGCUGUCUCAGCCUUUGAGAUGGGGUCUUGGGUGUCUUUUCUUGCCCUUGACUAAAGCUUAUUUUGUUUGGAGCUGCAGCGGCUAGGAGAACGCUUGCAGUUACCAAUAACCACAUCCAGGUGAGCAAAGGAGAUUUCCUACUUGUAGAAUAUUCUAAGUUAGAAAUUAAAAGAGUUCAAAUGUGAACUAAUAAAUUCAUUCAACAUGCAUGGGGGGCAGAGUGUACUGGGGAGAUCACCAGGCUGGGGAGGGGAGGAUUUGCACUUCAGUCCCCAGCACUAACUAGCUGGAUGCCCUUAGCCAAGGCACUUAACCCGUCUGCGUCGGUUUCUUCUUCUGGAACUGGAACUGUUGAAAUGGAAGAUCUCAGGUCCCCCCGACUCUAAAUAAAAUUCUGUGAUACGUGACUGCCAGUGGCAGUAUGUGACUAACACAACAGUCAGAGAAUGUUACAGUCAAUAAAUGCAAAUGUAGACGAGUUAGGACAUUCUGUGUUUUGUGGACAUUAUUUUAGCCUAAACUUAGUUUUCCAUGACUAUCAAAUGAAUGAAGUCUAAAAACUGGACCAAUGAGAUUUUAAUAUUAAGGUCUGAAGAGGCUGGAUCAUAAUGAAAGUCACGGUGACUUCUUUAGGUAGAAGUUGAAUGUGUUCUACCGAGUUAACAUGCAGGUAUGUUCUGUUUAGCUCGAUCUCUGACUAUUUUGCAUGCUUUGGGCUACUACUACUUUCAUGGAGUAUGAGAGACUGGGCCUUACUGCUGUGAUAUACUUACUCAUGAUGUGUUGGUCAAAGAGCAUUAAAAUUGUGUCUUGUGGAUAGAGAUUCCAUCUCCUCCUCCUCUAGUCUACUGCCCUUGGGGUCCCCUCUGGGUAACUGACCUACCUGUCAGAGCAGCGACUGCAGCUUCCACUAAACUGAUCUUGCAGGCACGUCUCGGCCUGGGCUGUCCAGUGCGCUGACUCUGGGGUCUCAGUGUGCUGAGACCCAAGGGAGUCCAGAUGGAGAUGAGUCAGCCCUGGCACCCACCCCACGCUCCACCCUGCUGGUAAACAGAGCAGCUCUUUGCCGUCACUCGGAGCCUCUCAGGGCCCCAAGACUCCAGGAAGAAACAAAUAUUGCAGAAGCCAAAACCCCAAGGCAAGGUAAAGAAAACAGAACUGUCCGCAUCAGCAGCAGCGAUCGCACUGGCGACAGUUCCUCGGAGGUGGGGGAGCUGUGGAUGGUUCCAGCUGAACCGUUUCACUUGCUUCUCAACCAGAAGGCCCUUCUCUUUCACUGUUUACAGGAGGUGGCCUUUUGCCCUUUAAGCCUUGAAAUUUCAAAACUUGCCUUUAGAGUCAGUCUUGGUUGCUAAUCCAUAAUACAUUUUUCCCUCCUCCUUUUAUUACUUUGUGGUUUUUUUUUUGUACUAGCUUCUAUUAAAAUACUUCUUAUUAACUUCUUACUAACUUCUUGUUAACUUAUUUUUGUUUACUCUUCCCUGUCAUUCCGGGGAGAAGCUACUGAAAGAAAAAACAUCUAGAUAGAAAAAUAGCACCAGGUGACACAUGUGGACCACAGCCUUGGAAAUGUCCUCAUGGCCCAGCUUCACGACAAGAAGCCUGGCUGGUGGCAGGAUGUGCCCAGCUCUGGGCUGUGGAACCUCACAUCGCCCCAACGUAGCUGGGGUGCAGUCUCUGUGCCUAGACUGUUCUUCCUAGGUCUGGAGACACACUCGCCUUGGGGACCGCUCCUUCAGAUCCCAGCAAGUCCUGUUCCAAGCUUAGCAAAUGGCACGUACCUGAGCCGGAGGCAUGGCUGGCUGAUCCUGUCGAGCUCCUUCAGUUAUCACGGUUGCAGAAACUCAUAACACCACACAGACCACUCCACAGUGAAGAAACUGCUAACACUGUGCAGACCACCCCAACCACACAUGGUCUCUGCUGUGGUCUGAAUGUUCUCCAAAAUUCAUGUGUUGAAACUUAAUCCCCAUCGUAGUGGCAUUAAGAGGUGGGGCCUUUGGGGAAGUGAUUAAGUCACUCAUGAACGGAUUGGUGCCUUACAAAAGGGCUGGAGGCAACUGGCUUAGGCCCUUUUUGCUCUGCCAUCUUCCUGCCAUGUGAAGACACAGCACUUGACUCCCCCAGAGGGUGCAGCAGCAAGGCACCAUCUUGAAAGCCAAGAGCAGCCCUCACAAGACACCUAACCUGCCGGAGCCUUGAUCUUGGACUUCCAGCCUCCAGAACUGACAUCCGGGAAUGGAGUGUGUGCGGUUCAGGAUCAGAUGGACUCAGGACUCCUCCCAGUUACCCCCCAGCUGUGUUUGUAGCUCACCUUGGCAGUUUCCCCCUCCUCAGAGAACAAGCGUGGAGCUGUUGUGACACAUGGCAGCUGCUGGUGGAACCAGAUGUAGGCACACAACCCGAAGACAGCUUGUCCGUUGCUGGCCAGAAACCUGUGAAGUGGCCCGGUGGAAAGGUCUCACCCAAAGGAAAGAGGUGGCUAAUAGCAGCACAUUGCUGCAUCUCCAGGCCUGAAAGAGAAAAGCAAGAGUGGUUGCUGGAGCCUGAAGACCAAGAGCUGUGUGGAGAGUACCCCGACAGGAGCUGCAGCCUUCAGUACAGAGACACAGCCGGCCCCCUAGAAAGGGAAAUAAACAACCCAAUUCUCCUCUCAUCUCCUGACGGCACGGCCACCUGGAAGCCAGAGAGGAAGAGAGGUUGAUAGAGUUUUUCUGGUCAGCCAAUGGAGAGGAGGAAAGUGGAAAAUGCUCCGAGGAAAGUGCUUGGAG